UCUUCUCUGUUAACAGACCUGUGUUUCACUAAACUUAUAUACUCAAGUAAGGACAACUGAGGCUCUUCGAGUUAUUCUUCUAUUCAUCAAAGUGAAGAUUGACAUCAGUGCAAGUUUUCUUCAUCAAAAUUGGUGUCGGCAGCAGUGUUCCAAAAGAGACAGACACUGGAAAAGCAUCCCCAAAGAAUGAUGUUUCCACCUCCAUGCUUCACAGUUGGGAUGGUUUUCUUGGGAUUGUACUCAUCCUUCUUCCUCCAAACGCAAUUUGUGUUCUAUCAAACUCAAGUAAGGACAACUGAGGCUGAAGACGUUAUUCAUCAAAGUGAAGAUCAACAUCAAUUUUCUUCAUCACUCUUUCACAAGGGAGUCCAGGACAAGACAGCAGCAAAAAGUUUCACAUAUAGUUACACAAACAGUCCCAGGAAUUGCCACACUGAAAUUGUUUAGUGUAAACUGCAUGUGUGUGAUGCUGCGUCUUGACUGAGUCAUCUGGUGUGUGCAUUUUUAUGAUUAAAAUAUUUAAAAAAUCUGUUAAAUAUGUCA